UACGUAGGGGGCAAGCGUUGUCCGGAUUCAUUGGGCGUAAAGCGCGUGUAGGCGGCCCUGCAAGUCGGGUGUGAAAUCCCACGGCUCAACCGUGGAAGUGCAUUCGAAACUGCAGGGCUAGAGUCCUGGAGAGGAAGGUGGAAUGCUUGGUGUAGAGGUGAAAUUCGUAGAUAUCAAGCGGAACACCGGUGGCGAAGGCGGCCUUCUGGACAGUGACUGACGCUGAGACGCGAAAGCGUGGGGAGCAAACAGG
rnacentral:rRNA from 1 species